CCUACGGGUGGCAGCAGUAGGGAAUCUUCCACAAUGGGCGAAAGCCUGAUGGAGCAACGCCGCGUGGGUGAAGAAGGUCUUCGGAUCGUAAAACCCUGUUGUUAGAGAAGAAAGUGCGUGAGAGUAACUGUUCACGUGUCGACGGUAUCUAACCAGAAAGCCACGGCUAACUACGUGCCAGCAGCCGCGGUAAUAAGUAGGUGGCAAGCGUUAUCCGGAUUUAGUGGGCGUAAAGGGAACGCAGGCGGUCUUUUAAGUCUGAUGGGAAAGCCUUCGGCUUAACCGGAGUAGUGCAUUGGAAACUGGGAGCCUUGAGUGCAGCAGAGGCGAGUGGAACUCCCUGUGUAUCGGUGACCUGCGUCGAUCUCUGGACGAACACCAGUGGCGCACGCGGCUCUCUGGUCUGUACCUGACGCUGAGGUUCGAAAGCGUGGGUAGCAAACAGGAUUAGAUACCCCAGUAGUC
rnacentral:rRNA from 1 species